rnacentral:rRNA from 1 species
UACGGGGGGGGCAAGCGUUGUUCGGAAUUACUGGGCGUAAAGGGCGCGUAGGCGGGCCGCCGCGUCCGGGGUGAAAUCCCACGGCUCAACCGUGGAACGGCCCCGGGUACGGGCGGUCUGGAGGGGGGUAGGGGCGUGCGGAACUGUGCGUGGAGCGGUGAAAUGCGUUGAUAUGCACAGGAACUCCGGUGGCGAAGGCGGCACGCUGGACCCCAUCUGACGCUGAGGCGCGAAAGCCAGGGGAGCGAACGGG